UGGGGAAUAUUGGACAAUGGGCGAAAGCCUGAUCCAGCCAUGCCGCGUGUGUGAAGAAGGCCUUUUGGUUGUAAAGCACUUUAAGCGAGGAGGAGGCUACUUAGAUUAAUACUCUAGGAUAGUGGACGUUACUCGCAGAAUAAGCACCGGCUAACUCUGUGCCUGCAGCCGCGGUAAUACAGAGGGUGCGAGCGUUAAUCGGAUUUACUGGGCGUAAAGCGUGCGUAGGCGGCUUCUUAAGUCGGAUGUGAAAUCCCUGAGCUUAACUUAGGAAUUGCAUUCGAUACUGGGAAGCUAGAGUAUGGGAGAGGAUGGUAGAAUUCCAGGUGUAGCGGUGAAAUGCGUAGAGAUCUGGAGGAAUACCGAUGGCGAAGGCAGCCAUCUGGCCUAAUACUGACGCUGAGGUACGAAAGCAUGGGGAGCAAACAGG
rnacentral:rRNA from 1 species